CCGGGAGCGCGGCGCGCAUGCGCAGGAAAGAAGGCAUGCGCACCGGAGGUGAAGCCAACGCGCAUGUGCUUGGGCGGAAGGCGAGAGGUCUAACAAAGAAGAGUGGUUUAUGCUUCCCACCCCAAGAAGGGCAAUCUGUGCCCCAGCUGAAGCUCAGGCUGGUCAUGGGAGAGCAAACCUCAAAAUACAGAUGCACCAAAAAUGGGAAAAUCAAGCAGAAGGAGCCCAAACGCUUCUGGAGACACAGAGAGAGCAUGGGACACGCACAAGAUCUAGGACCAUGAAUGAGCUUUGACCAUCUGCCAACGGAGUGAUUGCACGUGACUUGUUUCGAUAAAAUCUCGAAGACCACUUCCUCCGAAAGUGUUGCAUUAAAUAUUUGAAAUAAUA